rnacentral:lncRNA from 1 species
GUCCAUUCUCGAACGAAGAAACCCUAGAUGUUGACUUCUAAUCUUCUUCCCUCUCUUCCACAGAUUUGCAAAUUAGUCAUGUCUCUAUCUAAGAAAUUCGAAUUUUCAGAAUACCCUUUUGCUCUUCUUCUGCAUUGUUGGUUGACGAUCUUCUUUUUGUAUUGUUAGCCGUUCAAUUUUCUCUAUUCUGUUUGUUCAAACUUGUGUGAAUGCAAAAUGAAUAUAUUUACCACUCAAAACCCAGUACUUUUAGUUUUAAUUUUUAAAUUAUCAAAAAUUAAUUUUUGCAUGUGUGUGCAUAAUUAUUAGUAGGGAUUUGAAUGGAUUAUUUUCGGAGGUUGAAUUGAAAUCUAUUGGAUGAAGAAGAAGUCGGACUGUUGAGGUGUGUGAGCUUAGGUGCCAAAAUUGAGUGAAGGGCUUUCUUCUUUUGGUAGAAUGCUGCUGAACAAAUCACAUUCUCCUUCUUCACGGCAGAAUCCAGUUAAUACUUAUUAUUAAGAGCUUUCGAACGUUUCAUAAUUAUUUUUGAUAAAUCUUUUUCUGUGCUUUUUUCAGGAAGUAAAAAGUCCUCCAACCUCUACCGAUGGUAUGACUUUUCUUCGUGUUAUGUAACUUAUGUUUGAGAAUUUGCUGAUGUGAAAAUUUAUCAUGUUUCGAAUAAUGAAUUAACUAUGAUUAUACCACUGAAGAUGAUGAAGACAGCGACGAAGAGCGAUAGAUGAGGAGCUCAAACGCGACUGUUUGCAAACGAGUUUGGCAGAAACUCACACAAUCGAAGUAACCCAUUAUAGAAAGAAUAUUUUUCUUUUGUUUGGACCUUGUUUCUAAUUUGGGUUUUAUAAAUCUUUUUUGAAUGUGGGUCUGAAAUUAUUAUUUAUUUUUUUAAUCUUUUGUCAGAUUUUUUAUUUGUCUUCAUUUGGAGUUUGUCCAUGUUUUGGAGGGAGUUGUGCAGGUCUGAUUGUGUGUGGAAAGCUCUAUGCAAAGAUGGUUGUUAUGCACGUGAUUUUGAUAAAGAUUCUUCAGCUUUCCAAGAUCAAAAUUUCGAGCUUGACCAGUGAAUGAAUUCCAAUUUAAAGGUCUUUUAUCUAUUUCUAUAAUUUGGGUUUUGUAUUAUGUUUGAGCACUUUUACUUUCUUUAUUUAGUAUAUAUCUUGUUCUUUAGGUGAAUGAAUUAUCACUUUAUUGUAAUUGAGAUUUUAUGUUAUGUUUAAGUUUUGUUUUAAACGUGUAAUGAAAAAAUUAGCAAUAAAUAAGGUCCACCUUUUGUAAUUUAUUUUCUUGGGUGUGAAGAAAUUUUCUGGAAUCCUUGAAAAAAAAGGAUUAUGUUCCCUAAUAUUUCUUGCUUUGUACAGAUUUCAUACAUUCUUGUGGAUUUACUAAUAUGAUGGGCAUAAGAGGAUACAUUAAUGACUUCAGGAAAAAGAAGAUGAAGUUUGAUCCUACUGCAUACUUGAGUACAUACUAUGAGUCAGUAUCUCAUUUACCAACGGGCUACAUGUGAAGUUCCCACAUUGUGCCAAAGCAAAAUGGUAAGCGUGCCAUUUAGAAUUGCAUGACUAAUAUUCAUGGAGGCAAUAAUUUUUCAUUGCCGAGAAGCUAAAUUAUGUAGAAAUCUUGUUUCGGUCAACAUUUUCCAUAUCUCAAUCUUAUAUAGGACUAAUCCUUUCAACUAAUCUGCAGACUGUGGCCGUCUGGUUGAUAUUGUCGACUCUGGCCAUCUGGUUGAUAUUGUUGGUUAUUUUUUUUUAAACUAGCAAUCAAAAUGUCAACCUCCUGAAGAAUUUGCUGAAUGGAUGCAAAAGGGAUUUAGGCCCUUCAACUAAGUUCGUAGAAGAAAUUUCUAAUUAUUAUUAGUAUUUUCACUUAGAAGCAAUUUUUAGUACACAAUGGAACUUUUGUCUCAUAAGAUUUUUUCACAUAUAAGUAAAUUUUUUAGUUAUUACAUUAUUGUUUUACUUAUAGUUGAAAUUUUAGUUGUAAGUCGGAAAUAGAGGAAG